rnacentral:rRNA from 1 species
GGUUAAGCGACUAAGCGUACACGGUGGAUGCCCUGGCAGUCAGAGGCGAUGAAGGACGUGCUAAUCUGCGAUAAGCGUCGGUGAGGUGAUAUGAACCGUUAUAACCGGCGAUUUCCGAAUGGGGAAACCCAGUGUGUUUCGACACACUAUCAUUAACUGAAUCCAUAGGUUAAUGAGGCGAACCGGGGGAACUGAAACAUCUAAGUACCCCGAGGAAAAGAAAUCAACCGAGAUUCCCCCAGUAGCGGCGAGCGAACGGGGAGGAGCCCAGAGCCUGAAUCAGUGUGUGUGUUAGUGGAAGCGUCUGGAAAGGCGUGCGAUACAGGGUGACAGCCCCGUACACAAAAAUGCACAUAUUGUGAGCUCGAUGAGUAGGGCGGGACACGUGGUAUCCUGUCUGAAUAUGGGGGGACCAUCCUCCAAGGCUAAAUACUCCUGACUGACCGAUAGUGAACCAGUACCGUGAGGGAAAGGCGAAAAGAACCCCGGCGAGGGGAGUGAAAAAGAACCUGAAACCGUGUACGUACAAGCAGUGGGAGCCUCUUAAUGGGGUGACUGCGUACCUUUUGUAUAAUGGGUCAGCGACUUAUAUUCUGUAGCAAGGUUAACCGAAUAGGGGAGCCGAAGGGAAACCGAGUCUUAACUGGGCGUUAAGUUGCAGGGUAUAGACCCGAAACCCGGUGAUCUAGCCAUGGGCAGGUUGAAGGUUGGGUAACACUAACUGGAGGACCGAACCGACUAAUGUUGAAAAAUUAGCGGAUGACUUGUGGCUGGGGGUGAAAGGCCAAUCAAACCGGGAGAUAGCUGGUUCUCCCCGAAAGCUAUUUAGGUAGCGCCUCGUGAAUUCAUCUCCGGGGGUAGAGCACUGUUUCGGCAAGGGGGUCAUCCCGACUUACCAACCCGAUGCAAACUGCGAAUACCGGAGAAUGUUAUCACGGGAGACACACGGCGGGUGCUAACGUCCGUCGUGAAGAGGGAAACAACCCAGACCGCCAGCUAAGGUCCCAAAGUCAUGGUUAAGUGGGAAACGAUGUGGGAAGGCCCAGACAGCCAGGAUGUUGGCUUAGAAGCAGCCAUCAUUUAAAGAAAGCGUAAUAGCUCACUGGUCGAGUCGGCCUGCGCGGAAGAUGUAACGGGGCUAAACCAUGCACCGAAGCUGCGGCAGCGACACUAUGUGUUGUUGGGUAGGGGAGCGUUCUGUAAGCCUGUGAAGGUGGCCUGUGAGGGUUGCUGGAGGUAUCAGAAGUGCGAAUGCUGACAUAAGUAACGAUAAAGCGGGUGAAAAGCCCGCUCGCCGGAAGACCAAGGGUUCCUGUCCAACGUUAAUCGGGGCAGGGUGAGUCGACCCCUAAGGCGAGGCCGAAAGGCGUAGUCGAUGGGAAACAGGUUAAUAUUCCUGUACUUGGUGUUACUGCGAAGGGGGGACGGAGAAGGCUAUGUUGGCCGGGCGACGGUUGUCCCGGUUUAAGCGUGUAGGCUGGUUUUCCAGGCAAAUCCGGAAAACCAAGGCUGAGGCGUGAUGACGAGGCACUACGGUGCUGAAGCGACAAAUGCCCUGCUUCCAGGAAAAGCCUCUAAGCAUCAGGUAACAUCAAAUCGUACCCCAAACCGACACAGGUGGUCAGGUAGAGAAUACCAAGGCGCUUGAGAGAACUCGGGUGAAGGAACUAGGCAAAAUGGUGCCGUAACUUCGGGAGAAGGCACGCUGAUAUGUAGGUGAAGCGACUUGCUCGUGGAGCUGAAAUCAGUCGAAGAUACCAGCUGGCUGCAACUGUUUAUUAAAAACACAGCACUGUGCAAACACGA